AGUCGUAACAAGGUCUCCGUUGGUGAACCAGCGGAGGGAUCAUUACCGAGUGUAAAAACUCCCAAACCAUUGUGAACCUACCACUGUUGCUUCGGCGGCCUCGCCCCGGGCGCGUUCGCGCGGCCCGGACCCAGGCGUCCGCCGGAGGCUCCAAACUCUUGUCUUUUAGUGUAUUUCUGAGUGGCAUAAGCAAAUAAAUCAAAACUUUCAGCAACGGAUCUCUUGGUUCUGGCAUCGAUGAAGAACGCAGCAAAAUGCGAUAAGUAAUGUGAAUUGCAGAAUUCAGUGAAUCAUCGAAUCUUUGAACGCACAUUGCGCCCGCCAGUAUUCUGGCGGGCAUGCCUGUCUGAGCGUCAUUUCAACCCUCAGGACCCGUUCGCGGGACCUGGCGUUGGGGAUCAGCCUGCCCCUGGCGGCGGCUGGCCCUGAAAUCCAGUGGCGGUUCCCUCGCGAACUCCUCCGUGCAGUAAUUAAACCUCUCGCGGCAGGAUAGCGGUUGAACCACGCCGUUAAACCCCCCACUUCUCAAGGUUGACCUCAGAUCAGGUAGGAAUACCCGCUGAACUUAAGCAUAUCAAUAA
rnacentral:misc_RNA from 1 species